ensembl:lncRNA novel transcript, antisense to APMAP
AGGAGCGGCGCGAGGCGGUCUCGGGUCCGGAGAGCCGAGGACAACGCGGCGACUGGGCGCAGGGUGCACCCGAACCUGAAAGACCUGGCAGGUACAUCCGCCUUGUCGGAGCCUGCUUCCUCGGAAAAAUGAGUUUUUCUUGGGGAUGAAACGAGAGGACUCUGACAACGCGCUCGGCACCGCAUCCCCAGGUUACUGUUACUGCCGUCGCCGCUGUCCAAGAGGGUCGCCCUCCACUCCUAGCGGCCCGGCUCCAGCGCCCAGUCUGGGAGUCCGCCCUACCUGCCGUCCUUAGCCUCCGGGGCCUGGCCAUCAUCGUCUGUGACGACCUGCGGCCGCAGGGGCCGGCGCUGUCGCAGCCCGUCCGCCUCGCUCAUGGUACGGGCGCCAGCCUCACCCGCAGAAACCACCUCACACUGAGCGGCGCCGGCUCAGACUCCAGGCCCGCCCUCCCCCGUACGCGGAAAUGACGUUGCGCCCAGGGACCAUUCCGCAGCGUUCUCCCCGCCCCUUCCGGCCUCAUGGGCGGGAGGUCCCCGGCGCGUCGUUGCUCGGCGCUCUGAGGCUAAUUCUGACCGCCCGGAAGUGGGGCUCGGAACCCGCUCAGAGAUAGCACCGGGAGCUGCCGGGGUCCCCGCCUGUCUCGGACUCCGGGGCCCAGAACGCGAGUGGUUCAACCUCGGGCUCGUCUAGCCCAGUGCCUGCGCAUGCCGCCUUCGUCUCACGUUUCUGAGGACGGGGAUGCUCAUGACGCACUUGGGAAUUGCUAGCACGAGAUGUUGGCCACUUUUAUCGUUGGAGAGGAUAGCGCUGUUUAUUCAGUGUCAGCGACCCUGCUCUUACAGGCAGCGUCAAAAAUAAUGCAUUCACACCCUUGGAACGAAGUCACCUCUGCCUGAAAAUUACAUCCUUCCCCGACUCAGCCGGUUAAGGGGAAAACUUGGGCUAGAAAAUGUUUCCCUCUGGUUAAGGCCAGAUGUUGAGUAUUAAAUCUUUUUGUGACGAUUACAA